rnacentral:rRNA from 21 species
CAAACGACUCUCGGCAACGGAUAUCUCGGCUCUCGCAUCGAUGAAGAACGUAGCGAAAUGCGAUACUUGGUGUGAAUUGCAGAAUCCCGUGAACCAUCGAGUCUUUGAACGCAAGUUGCGCCCGAAGCCACCAGGCCGAGGGCACGUCUGCCUGGGCGUCACGC